rfam:Aedes aegypti strain Liverpool supercont1.204 genomic scaffold, whole genome shotgun sequence.
CCUCUCGUGGCGUAGGGGUAAAUCGUCCUAUCUAGAGAAUAGGGAGUCGUGAGUUCGAUUCUCACCGAGAAGA